GACGAACGCUGGCGGCGUGCUUAACACAUGCAAGUCGAACGGAGAACUUUCUUCGGAAUGUUCUUAGUGGCGAACGGGUGAGUAACGCGUAGGCAACCUGCCCCUCUGGUUGGGGACAACAUUCCGAAAGGGAUGCUAAUACCGAAUGUGAUCCUUCUUUCGCAUGAAGGAAGGAUGAAAGAUGGCCUCUACUUGUAAGCUAUCGCCAGAAGAUGGGCCUGCGUCUGAUUAGGUAGUAGGUGGGGUAACGGCUCACCUAGGCGAUGAUCAGUAGCCGGUCUGAGAGGAUGAACGGCCACAUUGGGACUGAGACACGGCCCAAACUCCUACGGGAGGCAGCAGUGGGGAAUCUUCCGCAAUGGACGAAAGUCUGACGGAGCAACGCCGCGUGAGUGAUGAAGGCCUUCGGGUUGUAAAACUCUGUUGUCAGGGACGAA
rnacentral:rRNA from 1 species